rnacentral:rRNA from 1 species
AUUGAACGCUGGCGGCAGGCCUAACACAUGCAAGUCGAACGAGUGGCGGACGGGUGAGUAAUGUCUGGGAAACUGCCUGAUGGAGGGGGAUAACUACUGGAAACGGUAGCUAAUACCGCAUACCAUCGGAUGUGCCCAGAUGGGCUUAGCUAGUAGGUGGGGUAAAGGCUCACCAAGGCGACGAUCCCUAGCUGGUCUGAGAGGAUGACCAGCCACACUGGAACUGAGACACGGCCCAGACUCCUACGGGAGGCAGCAGUGGGGAAUAUUGCACAAUGGGGGCAAGCCUGAGGCAGCCAUGCCGCGUGUAUGAAGAAGGCCUUCGGGUUGUAAAGUACUUUCAGCGGGGAGGCGUUAACCGCAGAAGAAGCACCGGCUAACUCCGUGCCAGCAGCCGCGGUAAUUC